rnacentral:rRNA from 1 species
UACAGAGGUCCCAAGCGUUGUACGGAUUCACUGGGCGUAAAGGGUGCGUAGGUGGCUUGGUAAGUUCGAUGUGAAAUCUCCGGGCUUAACCCGGAAAUGGCAUUGAAUACUAUUGAGCUGGAGGUUUGGAGGGGGGACUGGAAUUCUCGGUGUAGCAGUGAAAUGCGUAGAUAUCGAGAGGAACACCAGUGGCGAAGGCGAGUCCCUGGACAACACCUGACACUGAGGCACGAAAGCUAGGGGAGCAAACAGG